GUGCCAGCGCGGUAAUACGUAGGCAGCGAGCGUUGUUCGGAAUUACUGGGCGUAAAGAGUGUGUAGGCGGUGCUCUAAGUUCGGUGUGAAAUCUCCUGCUCAACUGGGAGGGUGCGCCGGAAACUGGGGGACUUGAGUGCAGGAGAGAAGAGUGGAAUUCCACGUGUAGCGGUGAAAUGCGUAGAGAUGUGGAGGAACACCAGUGGCGAAGGCGACUCUUUGGCCUGUAACUGACGCUGGAGGCGCGAAAGCGUGGGGAGCAAACAGG
rnacentral:rRNA from 1 species